rnacentral:misc_RNA from 1 species
UUCUCUUACUACCCGAUAGUAUCGUCGCGUAGUAAUAACGGCUUCACCUACUCACUAUUCUCUCGCUUAGUUAGUUGGUUUUGUUUUCGGUUGUGAGCUUCUUCACUUCCCCUUACCUUUAGUUGUGCUUUAAGUGCUGCCUUUGUGUUGCGUGGUUGGCUGCUGUCGACUUGUCUGUGCCUUCUUUGCUUCUCUUCGUUUUUUAUUUCUUGUUUUGCGUGUGCCUUUAGUGUUGCUCGAAUACUGGUUUUGUCGCCGGAUCUCUGCGCUCCACUUAUAGUUUGGUUGUUUCGCAUCUCCCUACUCGCGUCCUGUCUGUUCCUGUCUCUGUGUCUGUCGGAGCGUUCGCGUCUUUUACUUUUUGUUUGACUUGCCUUACGUGUUGUUGUGCUUUCCUCAUCUCUUUACUCCUUUCGGUUUUGUUUCCUUCUGACUCUUCUCUUGCUGCUGCCCGUUGCGAUACUGUGCGUGCGGGUGUCUUUGGCAAACUUAUCCAGUUUCAACUUUUAUUCGUCGCAUCUUUACGUCGAAGAGUAUCACUGGCAGCGUCUGCACCCAUGCAAAGGCCUUCCCGAGCGCCUUGAUGCAUCUUGCCUAGCCUCGAAAGAUCAGUCGAGACCGGAAGAACGACUCAGACACGGUGGCCUUGGCCUUGCCGCUGCUUUCCCUUCUCUGUGUACGUGUCUUGUGGAGUAUACCGCGUGUAGGUAAACGCACGUGGUUGGGAGAGAAUCAGCACAACGUAUUCUGUUGCUUCACCGUACUUUGCGUUGACCGGUGCGUCCAGUAUGGGGAGUGCGCGUGUUUUUUUUGCUGUAUUUUGAGUGCACCGAUCGGGCCUUUCCCCUUUUCCACAGAGCGUCACAGCGUCAGCACAUUCUUGGGUGUGGCAGCCUCCUAUAUUAUUGCUUUUUAAGUCUCUCACCUCCUCCCCUGCACACAGACACACAGACACACACACACACACACAAGCACACAGUGAACUGCAGCACCCGCUAGCGCUGCUGCUCCGUGAACCAGUCUCUCUUCUCGAUCACAAGGAAGGAGCCUUCCUUUCCUUCCUCCAUUUCCGACCGUUCGCUGGGACCUGCAGAACCGUGAAUGCGCUGUAGCGCAGAGUGCCCGGUAACAAGUAGCGCGCUGAACAGCUGCGAGCUUCACGGCGUGCGUGCGCGCGGUUUCUUUUGGUGGUCUGUGGGACAUUCGAAGGCCACACUCUCGCCGACCUCACAAUGAUCAGCGAUAGGCUUGACUGCACAGAGGGGAUGAGCUCUGCCAAGGUGUUACUGGCGAGCCCAACGGACUCGCCGCAGGAGGCGGUGCUCGAGGGCAACUGCGGGCUGUCCACCUCGACAAGCGAGUGCUCGUCGCAGUCCAACUCCCAUAGCCACCGGCGCGAAGUACCAGACAGUGCCCUCAUCCCUGCCAGCGAGUGUGGCUCUAUAAACUCGUGGAUGCUCAUCAUUGAUGAGGAGGAUCGGCCGGCGCGCAUGCUGUAUGACGGGCUCUCAUCAUCUGAGGAGGAGCAUCAGGUGCCACAGCUCAUGUGCAACGACGAGUUCCGCAGGUCUUCUUACCAACGUCAGGUGCAGCGGUGGCAGCAGGAGGAGACGGCGUACUUGAAGCACGAAGGCUGGUGUGAGCACCGCCUUAUCCUUCUCAUGCAAGAGGCCUUCCGAUGCAGCAGACAAAACCUGAAGCGUGCGUUCAGAGCUGGUGCCAUGUCUGUAGAGGUGUACGCCACUCGGCUGGCGGGACUCAAAAACGCUCUGCUGCAGAUCAAGAAGGAGUACCGCCGAACGCUGCAGCGCACGCGAGAUCGCAAGGGAGACUUGUCCAGCAUUGCGAGCAAGGCUGUAACGUGCAUCGCCUCCGUUUACCCAUGGAGCAGCAGCGGCUUUGUAAUGGGGUUUGAGGAGAACGUCAGGUUUGGUCAGCUGGCGGAUGUGAUGGGCAGCGAGGGCCGACGUGGCGCACCACUGGAGCCCCCGACAUCUCAGCAGUCUACCAACGUCGGCCUGGCUCCUUGCCGUGACAUGGCUCCGAUGUCAAAGGUGACGGGUCCUGGCAUGUCUUCCGAGCACCUCAACGCCGCUGCGCCGCCCGGGAACGAUAUGGCGUCGUACUACCAGGGGCGGCGUAUCGUGACGCCCCGCGUUUCUCUCUGUCCUCUACCACCUCGGCGUCAACUCUUCCGGAAGGGGGUGGCUCCAGACGGGUCUUUGCUCCUGUCGUCAGCGCACACCGGCACAUCGGCGGACGGCGUCGCAUUUACGAUAGGUCCUCUGCCUGUGGAGAGCUUGAGCCGCAGCUUCUUUGCUGUCUCCCCGAACUGCCUGUCGCCCGACUCGCCAGCGCUGGUGCCACCGGCGUCGAUAGCUGGCCCCUUCCGUAGCGAUGAAAGGCGAUUUCUAGAGAAGCGCCAGCUUGUUGUGCAGGGGAUGUCCUUCGUCUCGCAGUCGUUGGCGUCGAGCAUUUUCAUUUCGAGCCGGCGCGCCACCAUUGCGUCGGCUACGAUGCAAAAGCGACUGAAUCUCGCCAAGGGCCAGGCGCCGCCUCCGACGUCGCACCCCGCUUCCUGCGCCACGGUGGUCGACACGCAGAUUUAUCUACCCCCACCCGCCUCCUUCGCGACAAGCAACUCUUUCCCAAAGGCAAACCGGGUGAAGCACGAAGGUGGCGCUGUUGGCGGCAGCACGAUCAGUCUGAGUCGUUGCAUUAGCCAAUCAAUGCCCUGCUCGUCGCCGUUCCCCGCUCCUGGCAAGGGCUCCUUCCACGUAGACCCCUCCCCGAGUGCUCCUGUGGCAUGUAGUCCACCCGCAUACGAGCACGCAGUCGCCGUAUCGAGCGAAUACACGCACAGGAACCCUGUGCGCCUCCCUUCGUGUUACCAUAGCCAGCUUCCAGGCGAUAGAAUGUGUUGCGACCGCAUGAGUUUCCACUCACUCUUCUCUGAGAUGCCGCCGGUGUCCCUGGAAGAGGAGAAGCACGUCAAGGAGUUAUGGUGACGUGGAUGCUCGACCUAAGCAGGGGCAUCGCGACUUCCACGUUCCGCCUAUGAUUAGCAGUGAUUCGGCUGCGCCUGGUGAGGGGGAAUUCGUCGCCAAGUGCGAAACGGAAACACUGCCUGGCGCAGCGUCGCAGCACACAUUUGCGUGGUUCUGAGCAGCGCGCAUGGUAGCGCCGCUCAUUCCAACGCUUAUUUUGCCUUUUGCUAUGCGGAGUGUGACGCUCUGCCCACCGUCAGUCAUAGUAAAGCUGCGUUGUGGCGAUACCUGCGUCAUUUCUGAGACACUGUCGUGCCCCCUUUCCACCGUACUUCCCGAUUGGUACGGCUGCUUCUUGUCAUCACCUCGUUUCUCACGUUGUUUCAAGCGUGGACUGGGCGGCUCGCCCCCUGCCCCUCCCCCUGCACUUCUGCCCGUCAGAGCACGGUGCUUUUCCUUGCACCGCCAGCUCUGUGACGGGUGCCGUUCUUGACUGUGUCUACAAUAUUUGUGGCGUUAGUUUGCCGUGCUUGUGAUCCUUCCUCUGUUCUUUUCACGUUUUCUUUUCUUUCGCUGGCUCUCUGUGAGACUUUCUUGUAAGCCUUUUCCCUUUACAUGAUGUGUGCUCGUGUUUGUGUCGGGAAGAGGUCAAACGCGGCUCCCCACGCCUCCUUCCCCUCUUUUGUUUUUCGUUUUCUGUUUUUGCUUCUGCCACUUGCUCUGAGGUUCGGCUGUGGUUUCGUGGCGAUGUAUCUCAAGGCCCUGCCUUCUUCCUCUCUCUGCAUACCCUUUCCCUUUCUCCCUUGUGCCUUGGUUGUUAGAGGAGGCGUCCAUGCGCGUCCACGUGCAUGGGUGUGUGCAUGCGUAUGUGUGCGUGUGCGCGUGCACUUGCAGCAGUGGUAGUAUCGAAUGGUCGGUGAAAGAGUCGAAGAGGAAAGAGUAGGUGGCCCUAGAAAGAGAGGCGCUCUUGCUCAGUCGAGUAGGGGUUUAGCGCUGCGCGCGUCUUCCAAUUGGCGGUAGAAAGUUCCCUCUUUCAUUGGCUAUUUUCAGUGAUCUAUUGCUUUUUUUUCUGGUUUCUUCAAGACCCCGCUGUUCCUCCUCCGCCUCGUUCAUUUGCCCUUCUUGUCGCUGCGUCUUUCGCACGUCUCCCUCAUUCACGAAUGAGCCUUUUUUUUCACCUAUGCUCAUGCUCCCUCUUUUUCUCUUGCUGUUGUCGUUUCUGCUUGGGUGUGGCUUUCUGUGCGGAGUGUCUUCUUUCACCUCUUCUGUUUCUCCUCUCUGCCUCCAUCUCCCUCUGUGCGUGUGCGUGCAUAUGUGUGUGGCGGUCUCUCUCCCCAUUCCACCGAACCCCACUCCCUCUCCCCUUCCUCUUUUCGCCGCGUUCUUUUCUUUGUUUCUCCUUUCUUGUAGCUGGCCUGUAACGUGUGGCACGUCGCUUUCCCACCGCUUUCGCGCUCAUGCGUGCGCGACAUUACGGAAGACGAGCGCUCUAUUCAUUCGUCUAUUUCACGUUCAUGCGUCCUCUCUUCUUCUGACAUGCUUUCCUUUCUUCCUUUUCUGUAAUUUUCAGAGAUUGUUUGCGGGGGCUGUGUUUUGUCGACUGCUGUACUGUGCGCUCAACCCACGCUGGUAGGGUGAUCUCUGUUGGCUGCUGGGUGAUUAUGCGAAGACACGAAGUGUGUCGGCACACCGUGGCGUUACUGCAGCGCGUUAACGCGCGUUUUGUUUAUUAGUUUUCUCUCCUCUUUCACCUCCAACGAUUUAGCAAUAACCAAGUGCUUAGGCGAAAGGGUCAGUGCGCGAAAUGGCGAGAGGAGAGGCGGCGGAAGGGGGAUGGAGUGAAGUCUGUGCACAGAGGGGAGUGACCCCCAGCUCCCGCACAUACGCACGCGGGCACCCGGGUGGCGACCUUUCGUGUCGGCUGCCGGUGGUAAAACGCGUUUUGCUCUUCUGUGUCCUCCACCGGUUUGCCGCGGCGAGCGUCCAAGAAGACGCUGGGAGGGAUGCGAAAGUGCUUGAAAGGCAGCCAGCCUCGCUUCAUCACCCCCGGACCGCGUAGAAAAAAACGCCCAUCAUGCUAUUAAAUAAGUGGGCAAAAUCGAUUGUGCCCAUGGUUGGCGCUACACUCUCAGGUCACGAAACGUGUGUUGUUCAGAUCUACCAUUACCUUGCUACGCUAGACUCUCCGCUGCUGCGAGCAACAAGAAAGGGAUAGAAAGCAGGCGGGGAGCCAGACAGGCCACGACGCGAGAGCAUAUGCACACCGAAGAGCCAAAAAAAAAGACGAACGUCCUGUGAAGCGAUGCGUGCCGCACAUACACCGGGUAGGGAGCAUGAGGGAUAACGACAGCUGAGUAUUACAUAAAAGCGAAGAAGAAAAGGAACAUGAAGAGCCCUGAGUGCAGGAUGGGAGCACGUGUGGCGUUGUGCACAAAAGAGCAUUCGCCGCAACCCUCAUCUAUGCCCGCUCGUUUCUCUUCCUUCGCUUAUUCCUCUCUCAUGCUUCUCUAUUCUCCACCGCCACCGAUGCACCCUUGCGCUUUCACUUUUUCGUCUCUGUUUGCUUUUUUGUUUUGUGUUGUCGGAGGGGGCGUACCCCCUGUGCUUUCGUUUGCAUGUUUUCCUUGUGUCGUGUGGACGCCCGCACGCCGAAGCGAGUGAGUGGAGACAAAAAAAAACUCAUCAGUCGGAUGAGCAGAGCGGAGCCGGAGUAACACAGGAGCCGAGGACACACACGAUAUAUGGUUCUAGAUACAGGGACACGCGGAAAGGACCCCCCCCCAAAAAAAAAAAAGAAACAUUCCGCGCCGUAGCUCCUGGUAUUAAUCUGCUUCACACAGAGCUGUAGGCUUGUGCGCAUGCGCAGCGUGGAGGCUUUCCUUCACUAGAGGAGCUUAUGCGCCUCCGUUUAUUUUUCUUCUGUUUGCUUGUAUCGUUUUCGAGCCUAUCUUUGGCUGCGUCUCUCCCUUCCGCUCCCUUCUUCUCUGUGGUGUCGGCGAGGGCACAUCCCUUUCGUCUCACUGCCCAUCAG